AGUGAACGCUGGCGGUAGGCCUAACACAUGCAAGUCGAACGGCAGCACAGUAAGAGCUUGCUCUUACGGGUGGCGAGUGGCGGACGGGUGAGGAAUACAUCGGAAUCUACUUUUUCGUGGGGGAUAACGUAGGGAAACUUACGCUAAUACCGCAUACGACCUACGGGUGAAAGCAGGGGAUCUUCGGACCUUGCGCGAUUGAAUAAGCCGAUGUCGGAUUAGCUAGUUGGCGGGGUAAAGGCCCACCAAGGCGACGAUCCGUAGCUGGUCUGAGAGGAUGAUCAGCCACACUGGAACUGAGACACGGUCCAGACUCCUACGGGAGGCAGCAGUGGGGAAUAUUGGACAAUGGGCGCAAGCCUGAUCCAGCCAUACCGCGUGGGUGAAGAAGGCCUUCGGGUUGUAAAGCCCUUUUGUUGGGAAAGAAAAGCAGCAGGUUAAUAUCCCGCUGUUCUGACGGUACCCAAAGAAUAAGCACCGGCUAACUUCGUG
rnacentral:rRNA from 1 species